AGAACUUCAAGCACAGGCCGUUCAUCAAUGACAAAUGCAUUCGAUGUGGUGAAGAAUAUCAGGCAUAGAAGACCUCAUCAUGACAUCUUAAGGAAGGCGACUUAUGGAAUUUCAACAUUCACAAUAAAACAUGUUAACAUUAGUUGAGUGAAAACUGCCGCUGAAUCCGCUUUGCGAAUGCCACUAAGGUUGUUCCCCUUAGUAUAGGAGAACUGGGACGGAUUAACUUAGAGACGACGGAACGGAAAAAACACUCAGAUCUUACAUUCACAUCGGUUAAAACACUUUUUGGUCAUCAAAGUCUUAAUACUCUUCAGUGUUGAUUUCUUAAGGCAAUAUUUUAUCCAUCCACCCAUCAAGCACCGCAGAAAACAAAACAAAAUCGAGCCGGCGUAUGGGAAGUCUUCAUGGAAUAACCUGGGUGCAGAAUAGUCGUCGGCAAAACGGCCUCAAUUUAGAACUGUCAAAGCGGAACCAAUUUACUGUUCGCAAAAGGAUAGCAAGGAGUGGCAAGUAUUGUGUUCGAUCUGUAAUUUAUUUUGAGGAAUAAAAAAAGUCGAUGAAGUCGAGCUUUUGAGGUAU